rnacentral:tRNA from 1 species
AUUUAAAUAGCUUAUUUUAAGGAGCGUAAUAUUGAAAAUAUUAAGGUGAUAAAUUUAUCUUUAAAUG